rnacentral:lncRNA from 14 species
CAUGUCAGUUCUUGAGACUAAGUGUGCCAAUUUAAUGGGAGCUGUCAGAUGUUAAAUAGUUAAUGCUUAAUUCUAUAGAAUGAAAUGUAAAAGUGUGAUAGGACUCAAUGAAAAAUCUGGUUUUUGCUUACUGCAGAAACAGUAAGCAAAAAAAAAAGGAGGUGAGAGAAACAAAAAGUAAAAAAAAAUUAUGCAUAGAACAAGAAUUACACCCGUAGAUCAUAAACUAUGAAAUGAACCAUGAAAAUGGGAAGAAGGUUUAUCCAAUUCCAAAUUACAAUUGUUUGAACACGGAGCAGCUUAAGAAAGCAAGCAGUAUGAUCGUUCUCAUCCAGAACAGCAAAUCAUUGCUGAGGUAAAAUUGGUUGGCUGAUGGUAGCACAAUGAAAAUAUUAAUCCUAGUUGUUAAUCCUUUUAAUUUAUAGGUAUUACAUAAAUCAUGUUGCUGAUUUUUCUAAGCCUGCUGUUAGGAUUGGCUGCACACUGUUCUCCUUUGGAGGAUGGCUUGUUGAGGACUCCACUGAUGGGCCAACUACUUUGGGCAUGUUUCAGAUGUAAUUACAGACUGCAAAAGUGAGCCUGAAAAUUGCAUCAGGAUAGCCAGAGAUGAGCAUUGCUGUGAAUAAAACAGGAAGACCUAUUGCAUAUUUUUGUAGCUGGCCUGCAUAUGAAGGAGGAUUUCCACCAAAGGUGAUGGUAGGUAAUUUUGGCCAGGGUAAUGAGCAGUCAGAAGUUCCAUGGGCAGUUCUCACAGCACCUCACUUCCUAACCAAUGAGCUAAGCAAGGACACUUCCUGA